CACUUUUAUUCAGGAGUCAUACGUUGGACAGUCACCCUUAUUGCGAUUUUCCGGCAAGCUAACGCGAUCAUUUCGCUGCUUGCCGUCCCGGCGGGCAGCAAUCUCUCAG
rfam:Klebsiella pneumoniae IS46, WGS project CBWL01000000 data, contig: c33